GAAGGUACAGCUCAAGUGGCAGAGCGCAUGCUUAGCAGGCUUGAGGGCCUGGGUUCAAUCCCCCGUCCCUCCU
rnacentral:tRNA from 1 species